AAUCAACGCUGGCGGCGUGCCUCAGACAUGCAAGUCGAACGAUUAAAGCUCUCUUCGGAGAGUGUAUAGAGUGGCGCACGGGUGAGUAACACGUAAGUAAUCUACCUUUGAGUGGGGAAUAACAGUCGGAAACGGCUGCUAAUACCGCAUAAUGCAGCGGCAUCGCAAGAUGACAGUUGUUAAAGGAGCAAUCCGCUUAAAGAGGAGCUUGCGGCAGAUUAGCUUGUUGGUAAGGUAACGGCUUACCAAGGCUACGAUCUGUAUCCGGUCUAAGAGGACGGUCGGACACACUGACACUGAAUAACGGGUCAGACUCCUACGGGAGGCAGCAGUCGGGAAUUUUGGGCAAUGGGCGAAAGCCUGACCCAGCAACGCCGCGUGAAGGAUGAAGUAUUUCGGUAUGUAAACUUCGAAAGAAUAGGAAGAAUAAAUGACGGUACUAUUUAUAAGCUCCGGCUAACUACGUGCCAG
rnacentral:rRNA from 1 species